GGCAGUGGUGGCUCAACGGUUAAGGCUCUGGGUUACUGAUCAGAAGGUUGGGUAUUCGAGCCCCAGCACUGCCA